ensembl:lncRNA
UGUAAACACACACAGACACUAAAUGACUAUGGAGGGAAUCUUGCUGAAAUGCUCGGCUGUUUGCCUAACUUUCAACUGCUGACAAUAGGUUGCCCAGAGAGGUUGUGGAGUCUUCCUCUUCAGAGUUCUUUAAAAGUCACCUGGACAUGGUCCUGGACAAGUGGCAUUAGAUGUCCUUGCCUGAGCAGAGGUUGGACCAGAUGACCUCCAUAUCUCCCUUCCAGCUGAUCCCUGCAAUGACUGAUUCUCACUUCAUCUUUGGCUGUCAGUAAAGGUGCUUUCAGAGAUUUUAUUCAACUUUUUUAAGUCAGUUACAAGACAAUAUCAUCAUCUUGAUUGUUGCUUGCUUCCAUCUGGGUAUUGCCAUUAAUUCAGAUAUUCACUGUGCAUAAUUUUUUCAUUUUUUUCUUUGUAACGUUUCUAGGACAGUUUCUUGAUUGUUGUCUACAAAGCUAAACUCCUGUCUUGGCUGCUACAGUGUCAUGCUGUCUGUUAUUGAUAACCACAAAAAAAAAAAGCUGCUUUUUUUUUUUUUUUU